rnacentral:lncRNA from 1 species
GCUGACGUAACGUCAUCUUGCGGGACGUGGACGCAAGAAAAAGGAGAGUGAGCCGGAGCCGGAGUUGGCAGGCGUGGAGUGUAGGCCGGACGGCGGCGCCGGGCGGAGGCGGUGAGGCAGCUACCUUGGUCAGUGACCACCUUGCAGUAUGUUGAGUCAAGUCUGCCGCUCUGGGUUCCAGUCCUUCACCCAGCAUCUCCUGCCCUGGGUCCAAUCCACCACACUCUCCAGAUCUGGUCACAUCCAGCCUUCGGCCAUCAGACAUGUUCGUUCUUGGAGCAACAUUCCCUUUAUCACUGUUCCCCUCAGUCGUACACAUGGCAAGUCUUUUGCCCACCGCAGUGAGCUGAAGCAUGCCAAGAGAAUCGUGGUGAAACUCGGAAGUGCCGUGGUGACCCGAGGGGACGAAUGUGGCCUGGCACUGGGGCGCCUGGCAUCUAUUGUUGAGCAGGUGUCAGUGCUGCAGAAUCAAGGACGAGAGAUGAUGCUGGUGACCAGUGGAGCCGUAGCCUUUGGCAAGCAACGCUUACGCCAUGAGAUCCUGCUGUCUCAGAGUGUGCGGCAGGCCCUACACUCAGGGCAGAACCAGCUGAAGGAGAUGGCAAUUCCAGUCUUAGAAGCCCGAGCCUGUGCAGCUGCUGGACAGAGUGGGCUGAUGGCCUUAUAUGAAGCCAUGUUUACCCAGUAUAGCAUCUGUGCUGCGCAGAUUUUGGUGACCAAUUUGGAUUUCCACGAUGAGCAGAAGCGCCGGAACCUCAAUGGGACACUUCAUGAGCUCCUCCGAAUGAACAUUGUCCCCAUCGUCAACACAAAUGAUGCUGUCGUCCCCCCAGCAGAGCCCAAUAGUGAUCUCCAGGGGGUAAAUGUUAUUAGUGUUAAGGAUAAUGAUAGCCUGGCUGCCCGUCUAGCCGUGGAAAUGAAAACUGACCUUUUGAUUGUUCUUUCAGAUGUCGAAGGCCUCUUUGACAGCCCCCCAGGGUCAGAUGAUGCAAAGCUCAUUGAUAUAUUUUAUCCUGGAGAUCAGCAGUCUGUAACAUUUGGAACCAAGUCCAGAGUGGGAAUGGGUGGCAUGGAAGCCAAGGUGAAAGCAGCCCUCUGGGCUUUGCAAGGUGGCACGUCUGUGGUCAUUGCCAAUGGGACCCACCCAAAGGUGUCUGGGCACGUCAUCACAGACAUCGUGGAGGGAAAGAAGGUUGGCACCUUCUUUUCUGAAGUAAAGCCUGCAGGCCCUACCGUGGAACAGCAAGGGGAAAUGGCUCGAUCAGGAGGAAGGAUGUUGGCCACUUUGGAACCUGAGCAGAGAGCAGAGAUUAUCUAUCAUCUGGCUGAUUUGUUGACGGACCAGCGAGAUGAGAUCCUGUUAGCCAACAAAAAGGACAUGGAGGAGGCAGAGGGAAGACUUGCAGCUCCUCUGCUGAAACGUUUGAGCCUAUCCACGUCUAAACUGAACAGCCUGACCCGAAUUGCCAAAAACUUGGAACUAGAACAAGUGACUGUCCCAAUUGGAGUGUUACUGGUCAUCUUUGAGUCUCGCCCUGACUGCCUACCUCAGGUGGCAGCCUUGGCUAUUGCAAGUGGUAAUGGCUUGUUACUCAAAGGAGGGAAGGAGGCUUCACACAGCAACCGGAUUCUUCAUCUCCUGACACAGGAGGCCCUCUCCAUCCAUGGAGUCAAGGAGGCUGUACAGCUGGUGAAUACCAGAGAAGAAGUGGAAGACCUUUGCCGCCUAGACAAAAUGAUAGAUCUCAUCAUCCCACGUGGCUCUUCCCAGCUGGUCAGAGACAUCCAGAAAGCUGCUAAGGGCAUUCCAGUGAUGGGGCACAGUGAAGGGAUCUGCCACAUGUAUGUGGAUUCAGAGGCUAGUGUCGACAAGGCCACCAGACUAGUCAGAGACUCUAAAUGUGAAUAUCCAGCCGCCUGUAAUGCUUUGGAGACCCUCUUAAUCCACCGAGAUCUGCUGAGAACACCAUUGUUUGACCAGAUCAUUGACAUGCUGAGAGUGGAACAGGUGAAGAUUCAUGCAGGCCCAAAGUUCGCCUCCUAUCUGACCUUCAGCCCCUCUGAAGUGAAGUCUCUCCGAACUGAGUACGGGGACCUGGAACUGUGCAUAGAAGUGGUGGACAGCGUGCAGGAGGCCAUCGACCACAUCCACAAGUACGGCAGCUCCCACACAGAUGUCAUCGUCACAGAGAACGAAAAGACAGCAGAGUUCUUCCUCCAGCAUGUGGAUAGCGCCUGUGUGUUCUGGAAUGCCAGCACUCGCUUCUCUGAUGGCUACCGCUUUGGACUGGGAGCUGAAGUGGGAAUCAGUACAUCCCGAAUCCACGCCCGGGGACCAGUGGGACUUGAAGGAUUGCUUACUACCAAGUGGCUGCUGCGAGGGGAGGACCACGUGGUCUCAGACUUCUCAGAGCACGGAAGCUUAAAGUAUCUUCACGAGAACCUCCCUGUUCCCCAGAGAAACACCAACUGAAAGCAUUCAGAGGAGAGCCGGACAUGUUUUGAGGGGUCUUCCCAGUUAAAAUGGUCUUCUGCACCUCAGGGGAUGGACCAGGCCUUCUUGUCUCCUGCUUCCUGGAAGGGUCUCCUGUUGGAACGUGCACCUUGAUGCUUCUGGGCUCUGUGGCAACAUCAGCCUGGGCCAAAGACUCCGUUCCAGCUUACCCUUUUCUUUCUUUCUUCCUUCUUUCCUUCCUUUCUCUCUCUUUUUCUUCCUCUCUCUCUUUCUUUCUAAGUUAGAUAACAGUCGCUGUAGUUAGGGACUUUGCUUAAUUGCUACGGAUGGGGACUUUGCCUCACAUAGUGUAAUUCCCUUCAGUGAUAGAAACAGAAAGGUGCCAUUUCCCCACAUAAAAGGCAGUGGAAAAUCAUGGUUGCUUUUUACCUUUUAUCGCCUCAAUGAGGUAAAGUCUCCCUUGGCAUUUGGUAGUUACAAGAGCCAGUCACACCUAAUAAGUCUUUCCAUGUUUCAUUUCUUUCAUACUCCUAGUCAUCUUCAAAAAGGAAAGAUUUGGAACUUAGAAGAGAGACAGCUCUUCUUUUUAGCAUUCUCAUCAUAAGCAAUCACAAAAAGGACUAAAUCAUUUGCACUGGGAAGAUUGACAUUUUGUAUUUAUUGGAGUAAAUAUAAGUAAACUCUCUGGAUCCAGGGGCUUGCCACUACCUGGACACAGUUGGAACCCAGAGCUGCAGAUAGGAGGUACAAGUUUCAGGAUGAAGUACCUGCAGCCAUUGUGCUUGAAAUUUUUUUACGAAUUAUUUUGUCAUCCUUUCCUUUCCCAAAAAAAAACAAAAAUUAGAGGAUUAUUUUAAUACUUUGGAUUCUUCCCUCCUUUUUGAGAAAUAAAGUUCUUAUGAAAAG